UACAGAGGGUGCGAGCGUUAAUCGGAAUUACUGGGCGUAAAGCGCGCGUAGGCGGCUUUGCAAGUCGGAUGUGAAAUCCCCAGGCUUAACCUGGGAACUGCAUUCGAGACUGCAUUGCUAGAGUAUGGGAGAGGGAAGUGGAAUUUCCGGUGUAGCGGUGAAAUGCGUAGAUAUCGGAAGGAACAUCAGUGGCGAAGGCGGGUCUCUGGGCAGUAACUGACGCUGAGGAGCGAAAGCGUGGGGAGCGAACAGG
rnacentral:rRNA from 1 species